AGGUACUUCAUGCCUCGCAGGAUAACACUUAAUAAAGAUGCUGGAAAAUCCCUGCACCAAUGGCACAGCUCUAAUGCAAGAACGAAGAUUCUCAUGUUCCAGAAAAUACCCACCAUGUCCUAACUUUGCAGGGUGUCUCUCAUUGAACGUUUCAUAUACUUAUGGAUGAUGACCACUGAAGGCUGGACUUCGAUGCUGGAAUAUAAUCCCUGCAGACAUGGGUCAACUGUAAUACCAGAAUGACUGACAGGGCCAACAUGGACUCUGCAUUCCUAGUCACUGCAGGUGUGUCCCUGAUGUGAAGUAGCAUUAAAGAAUGCAGUGGCAAGAAGACAUCCUUGAAUUCACUGAUGAGAUCAUGGUGAGUCCUCUAACAAAUUGUAAACUUUCAUGACCCUUACACUUCUAUAAUGGAGCAAUGCAAAAUUUCCAAUCUGCUCAGAAUACACUUGUGGCUGGUGUCCUGGUCUCUUGUAGGGCAGGGCACUUAUAGCAUAUGAUGGUGCUUACUUCAAUGUUGGUCUCGGUAUAUGUAUAUUAAAUCCAAACCAGUCACUGACAUGAUGAUUUAACUUGGAAUCUCGUUCGUCUGAAUAAUUCUGAUGUUAAACUUUUAUAUCUGAUGGUCAGUAUGCAAAAACAACAUUGUAUAGAAUGGCCUGUGGUUUUAUUUUGUGUUCACCAUAAAGUAUUCUGUUUCAGAUGUCUCCACGAACGAAGGUCUGGCUCAUACCUGGAGAAUUAAGCCCUAGAAGAAGUUACAAGGUCACCCAGGUGUCGGUCUGACUCAUGUACACUUUUUUUUGGCUUCGGUGAGUAAACUAGCAGAUGCUGAACUCAAAUGUGCAUUAUCAAACGCCUAGAUAUGUCUCUU